ensembl:lncRNA
AGUCUACUUUGGACAUGAUGCUGGAGGGAUACAAGUGGAAGAUAUGCUCUGGUAACCAGACUGACGCAGGGUGUGUUGCCUCCUCUACUACAAUGGACUCUCUAUUUACUGAGGAGAGUAGUGCUUUGUCUUUAACAUCGGAUAAUCCAGUCUUGUCCAGGUUAGUCUCUGUAUAUACUUAAUUCUUAAAUAAAUUAACCAGACCUGUCAGAUCAUGAAUGUCU